UGCUGGGGCUGCAGGUGCCUCUCCCCACCUCUCCCCUGCCAGGCUGCCUUUGAUCUCCAGCCUGUUUUGGCUCCACUGUCAACAGAGAGACCUGCUGGCAUGUUCUUUCCCUUCACCUUCAGGCCUCGAGCCUGGUUGGUCGAAAGACAUGGAAUUUCCACACCCUCACAGGUUGUGCAACUACCCUGCAGACACAUUUUACAUUUAAUUAUUGUUAUCAUUACUUUCAGCAGAGUGAACACUUGUAGAUUUAUUAGGUUUUUCGAUGGCCCACCCAUCUGAGUCAGUGACCUUUAGCAAUUGUGAUGGGAGAGAAAGGGAUGAGCUACAGAGUGGCUGGAUGACCAGGCUGAAAGCCGUCAUUCCUGGGCCUCUGUUUGGAGAAGCCUUCUUUGGAAGAAGCUGGGAGCCUGCUGGAAUUUGAACCCACAUCUAAGAGAUCUCAGUUCCCGGAUGGAUUUGUUCCAACCUGGUCUGCCCGCCUCUCUGUGGAAUAUCUCUCUGCUCUCUCUGCCUUUUGAAAUUAUUUCUCCAGGCUGGAUUUGGCUGCCUCUGCCACCAACAGGGGAAUGAGACGCUGUGAGUUUUAUACACAGGGCAUGGACAGAGGCUGCCACGAAAUGCUGAGUGAGGGGUGGGUAUUCUUUUUUUUUUUUAUAGCUCUAUUUUAUUUAGAUGAUAGCAGGAGAGUGAGAGAGAGAGAGAGAAAGAAAAGAGCGCAUGCACGCGGGAGAGAGAGUCCCAGGGGUGGGUAUUCUGAGAUGCCCCCUCGCUGACCUUCCUUACAUCAGCAGCCGUGUCUCACCUGUAGGGUUUCACUCCAGUUGGGUGACUCCAGAUGCUUGCCUGUUUGGGUGGGUCCCAGCAAGACUCAUCUUGACCAGCAGCUCACCCUUGAGUCACCACCAGGAAGCCCGGGAUGGAUGUGAUGUCAUCAGUAAACACAGCCAGUCAUGGAUAAUGGGGGUGGCUCUGUUUGCCUUGGAGAUAAACCCCAUCACCCCAGCUGGGCUUCUGUGGGCGAGGCGGAGGAUGCCAAGCCCCGGGUGUCAACUUGGUGUGAUGACAUGUCUGUGGAGGGACCCCAGCAUCUCAGGGUGGGAGACAUCCUCGGGGGGCGUCCUGUCACGUUGCUCAGGAAUCUAGAGGUGGGAAGUUGCAUCCUUGGCUGUGUGGGGAAAGAACACCCAGGAGCAGCCAGGCCUGUUUCACCUGAUUCACUGCUCUGAAGCUGAGCUCUAGUCUCCCCUGGCGUCACUGUUUUCCUUUGAAGUCCAACCAGAGAAUCCCAUAAUCCCUCGUUCCUGUCCAUAUGGGCCUCAGCUCAAAGAUGGUGGCCCCUUGAGGGCAGGGUGGGUUCCCAGCCCAGUGCCCACCUCCAUCACGGCAGAGAAACGUGCGUGAGCCAGUCUUCUCCCCCGGGGUUGAAGGAGUCACAGUUGGCACUGGAGUUUGCCGUUUUCCUCAGGGCCAUGGAAUUCUUGGUGAUGACCUGCUUCUGGACCCCAGGUCCUCGUGCCGCCCGGCCCCUGGCUGAUGUGGCCAGUGCCCCUGGGUCAGCUCCGGGGCUCUCCUCGGGGCCAGACUGGUGAGAUACAGAACUGCCCUGUGAGCCCUCCUGGAGCCCGAGGCGGAUGGAAAGAUCCGGAGAACAGAUUCUGUCUUUAUUUGAGGAUUUGCUAAUUUGUUCAUCAUAGAUUUUUUUUUUUUUUGCAAUAAUUUUGAUUUUCUAAAAUGCUGCAUUAAGGUAUCUCGAUCACCGACUCACUUGGCGCUCCCUUCAGGUUGAUGCCAAGUCAGCUGCCUCCUUUGCCUCACUCGUCCAGUCCUGUUCUUCCUGCAUGAUCUCCCAUUGCUGCCCAUGAGUCAGAGAGAUAGAGGAGAUGAUUGCCCCAGGCUGCCCAGUCCUGGAGUUUCAGCCUGCCCUGCAGGGAAAGUCAAAAGGCCUUUCUCUACGAUGUGCAUAGAUGAACCUUCUUAUGUAUUCUUGCCUGGAAAAUCCCACGGACAGAGGAGACAGGUGGGCUUCAGUCCAUGGGGUCGCAAAGAGCACAACUCUUUGCAUGACAUCAAACCUUCCUGAGCGCCAGCUGGCUCCUGGGAUCCAGGAGGGCCAGGUGUGUGCCAGCAGCCCUUACUGCCCACUCUGUCCACUAGAUGGCGCACUGACCGCGCGGGUGAGCAUGGUGCCCCCUCCACCCCUCCUCCCAGGGCCCAGCUUUUCUGAAUUGCUGGCCAGUGUGGAGACCACCUGUUCAGCUGAUCCCCACUGCAGGCCCAAAGCACAGAGGAGACUGAGGCUCAGAGAGGUGAGGUGACCCACCUGCUGCCCUUAACAUACUAACAUUGGCCCUGGGGUCUGGCUUUGUACCCGACAUACCCCAAAUCCCUUCUUUCUGGGCCACCUGUUCUUGGUCUGUGUUAAAGGCACCUUUGCCAACCUGGUGAAAGCCAUAGGACCCUUCCUUGGAAAAAAAAUUGAAAAGAAUUUCAUGGGCUUCCAGAACAGGGCCAGGCAUAGAUUAAGAACUCUUUUCCUGCAUGUUUGCAGUAUAUGCAUGCGAUGUGGGAUUUAUAGUUAUACACUUUGUUUCAGAUAGCAUCUAACCAUGUAAUCCAUCCAUUGCUUCGAGAAAUAUUCAUUAAGCACCUACUACGUGAAAACCACUGUUCCAGGUGCUAGAGAUACUUUGUGAAGCUGACGUCCUGGGGUGGGAGGCGGGGUGGUGUGGAACAAAUGAUAAAAAGAGGCAAAGUCGUAGUGGUUAUUAGUGCUGUAAAUAAAUCACCCCAACCUUUUUGGCACCAGGGACCGGUUUUGUGGAAGGCAAUUUUUCCACGGACAGAGGGGGAGGUUUGGGGAUGAUUCAAGGGCCUUAUACUUACUGUGCACUUUAUUUCUGUUACUGUUACAUCAACUCCAUCUCAGCUCAUCAGGCGUUAGGUCCUGGAGGCCGGGGAGCCCUGCUCUAAAUGGUCCUAGUUCUCUGUCUUCUGGGCACACGGAGACACGGGUUCCAUCCCUGGUCCGGGAAGAUUCCACGUGCCACGGGGCAACUGAGCCCAUGUACCACAACUACUGAGCCCUUGUGCCUACAGCCUGUGCUCUGCAACGAGAGAAGCCACCGCCAUGAGAAGCCCAUGCGCCACAACGAAGGAAAAACAAAGGGGCUGAAACAAAUAUUGGACUCCAGUUAAUAGUUUACAUGCUGAAGUGUUGAGGGGUGAAAUGCAGUGAUGUCCCAAUUCAUUCUGAAAUACAUCAAAAUAUAAGAUGGCCUGCUGACUGGACAGAGAAAUGGCUGGCUGAACAGGUAAUGAGAAUGUGAAAGGCGUAGGUGGUGGACCUGGGCGUCACUGCUGUCAGAACUGCCCCGCCCUUCAGCUGCAAGCAUGGGGGCCCCCGGCUGCCCCCUGUUCUCUGGGCACAGACCGGGGCCCCCUCUGCAGAGCGUCUACUUGCCUCCACCACCAGAGGGAGCUGUCAUCCCAGCAGUUUCGGAAGCGCGGGCACUAUUGGAACGCCGCGGGGAGUGCUUCUCUGCGUCCCCUCGAGGGGAUUACAGGGCUGCUCCCACCAUGCCUUGCUUCCCCUGUUAACCCAUCGCUCCCAGGGGACUGAGCCUGCAGGCCAUGGACCGUCUUUGCAGAUCUGCACGCUCGCUAACUCAACACACCUCCCCGCUCCCCUUGUCCUCCAACUUGACCCAUGGCACCGUGGGAUCCGUGGCCAGCAAAGCCGCCUCGAGUGUCACCUCUUCCGGGGACGUUCUCCUGUUCUCCUGGCUCGCCGUCUCCCCUGGGCCCUCCCCUGGGUGCUAUUUCUCCUCCCCUCACACCCUGGCAGUGCAGAAUCCGGAAGGGCUCAGGAUCCUUUCUGCCUCCAAGGCAUUUCUCGUCCUUCUCAUUCAAAACAGCGUGUGGCCUUCUGUCCACCUGCUGGUCAGCUCCUUCACUGAGGACGCAGGCAGCUGGCUCUGUUUCCUCCUCCUCCUUAUUGUCCAUGACCCACGUGGACGGACCAUCUGACCCCCUGGUCUCGCUGUCUUGCUUGCCUCACCUCCAGUGACCUUUCCAACACUCCCACCCAGCCCCACUUCCUGUGCUCACACCCGGGACCCCUGACUUCAUCUGGAAAAGAGACCCAAGCGCCCCCUCCCACC
ensembl:lncRNA